GACGUGCGGUUCUAUUUUGUUGGUUUCUAGGGCCGCCGUAAUGAUUAAUAGGGAUAGUCGGGGGCGUCAGUAUUCAGCCGUCAGAGGUGAAAUUCUUGGAUUUGCUGAAGACUAACUACUGCGAAAGCAUUCGCCAAG
rnacentral:rRNA from 1 species